GCGACACCGCGUGGAGGAUGAAGGUUUUCGAAUCGUAAACUCCUGUCAAUAGAGGAAGAAGGUAUUAUAGGUGAAUAGCUUAUAAUAUUGACGGUACUUUGUAAGGAAGCCCCGGCUAAUUACGUGCCAGCAGCCGCGGUAAUACGUAGGGGGCAAGCGUUUUCCGGAUUUAUUGGGCGUAAAGCGCACGCAGGUGGCUUUUUAAGUCGGAUGUGAAAUCUCUUAGCAAAACUAAGAAAUUGCAUCCGAAACUGGAUUGCUUGAGGUCGGGAGAGGAGAGUGGAAUUCUCGGUGUAGCGGUGAAAUGCGCAGAUAUCGAGAAGAACACCAUUAGCGAAGGCGGCUCUCUGGAACGAUACUGACACUAAGGUGCGAAAGCUAGGGUAGCAAACAGGAUUAGAUACCCUGGUAGUCCUAGCUGUAAACGAUGGGCACUAGAUGUAGGGAGAUAUCGACUCUUCCUGUGUCGUAGCUAACGCGUUAAGUGCCCCGCCUGGGGAGUACGACCGCAAGGUUAAAACUCAAAGGAAUUGACGGGGACCCGCACAAGCGGUGGAGCAUGUGGCUCAAUUCGAUGCAACACGAAGAACCUUACCAGGGCUUGACAUUCUGGUGGUAGUGAUCUGAAAGGUGAACGACCCUUCGGGGAGCCAGAACAGGUGGUGCAUGGCUGUCGUCAGCUCGUGUCGUAAGAUGUUGGGUUAAGUCCC
rnacentral:rRNA from 1 species